rnacentral:rRNA from 1 species
AGGGAAUAUUGGGCAAUGGAUGCAAGUCUGACCCAGCCAUGCCGCGUGCCGGAUGAAGGCCCUCAGGGUUGUAAACGGCUUUUAUUCGGGAAGAAGAGCAGGGAUGCGUCCUUGUGUGACGGUACCGAAUGAAUAAGCACCGGCUAACUCCGUGCCAGCAGCCGCGGUAAUACGGAGGGUGCGAGCGUUGUCCGGAUUUAUUGGGUUUAAAGGGUGCGUAGGUGGCCUUAUAAGUCAGUGGUGAAAUACGGUUGCUCAACAAUCGAGGUGCCAUUGAUACUGUGAGGCUUGAAAUAAUUGGAGGCUGCCGGAAUGGAUGGUGUAGCGGUGAAAUGCAUAGAUAUCAUCCAGAACACCGAUUGCGAAGGCAGGUGGCUACGAUUGGUUUGACACUGAGGCACGAAAGCAUGGGGAGCAAAC